GGCGCCGUGGCUUAGUUGGUUAAAGCGUCUGUCUAGUAAACAUUAGAUCAUGAGUUUGUCUCUCGUCGGUGCCU